rnacentral:rRNA from 1 species
GACGUAGGGCGCGAGCGUUGUCCGGAUUUAUUGGGCGUAAAGAGCUCGUAGGCGGCUUGUCGCGUCGACUGUGAAAUCCCGCGGCUCAACUCCGGAUCUGCCGUGCCGACUGUCAAACUCGAGGGCUGUAGAGGCAGACGGAAUUCCGGGUGUAGCGGUGGAAUGCGUGAGAGAUCCGGAGGAAGACCGGGUGGCGAAGGCGGUCUGCUGGGCGAGUU